GGCAUUGUAAAUGACAACACCGCAACUGAAAGAAAGCUUGAAUUUCUGGGAGUAGCAUUAGGAUACAGGACCCCUGCUGAGCUCACCAGUUCCUUGCUCUACACAGCUGCUUUCUCAGCUGGGGUUUUGAAAUAAGCACUGUGAGAAAAGACAGAAAUGACCAUGAUGCAUCUUUCUCACUAUGAGAAAAAGUGCCAAUUUUUAGAAUGGAGGGUGUAGAUCCAUCCUUUGCAACUGGUGAGGACCUCCUCAGUAAGGCACUGAGCCAGGAGUCUAUACAGCCAUGCCAACAGCCUAGUCCAAAGACGUUUACAUCCUGGAAGAGAACUUGCUGGCUUUUCACCUCAGCAUGUAUGGGCCAAACUAAUAUAACAAGAAGUCUUGAGAGGAGUCAGCGGCCAAGCUCCAUGUCUUGCAGCCAAACAAUGCUGUGGGAUGGAAGGUGGGAUGUCAUGUGUCUGGUUUACAGCACUCACGUAUCAGUUGGCAGUUAACGGAAGUGCUACUGAUUGUAACAGUGGAAGCAAUUUGAAAUGAAAUACAACACUUAAAGCAAAUGAAACGGAAGUGAAUGCCAGCAGUAAAUGGCAAGAAGAAAUCCAGUUCAGUGUGUUCCUCAGAAAUCUUGCCUCUUGGGACUAAAUGCUGCAAAUUUAACUCUUAUCCUUGUUUUUCAAGUUUUACCAUCUCAAAGCUAUCCACUUUAUAUUAAAUUAGUUCUGUUAUAUUAUGUCAAUUUGUAUUCUUAAGAGCACAAGUUUGGCCUCAAAUAGACCUGAGCUGAGAUCCAAUUCUUUAAUUUAUCUGUGUUGUUUUCUUUUUCCUUAGCUUUAAAGUGGAAAAAAUGCUACUUACAUUUUAUUUAUGAAGGUUAAAGAUAAAGUGUCUGAUAUGGGACCUAUCAUAUGUGGUAGGCACUUAGUACAUGGUAGCAAUUAUGAUUAUUAUAUCUGAUAUUAGCAUUAUUAUUAUGAUUUGUUUUAAUCUUCAAAGUAUCAACUGUUUCUAUUACAUUUGUGGUAAAUACUCCUAAACAGAGUUUUUAAGUUCAAGUGUCCAAAGUUGUUAGAAACAAAGAUAUUUGACAAUAACAUAAUCAUAUCACAUGACCUCAUGAUUUAACCACCUCCCAAAGUUGCCACCUCCUAAUAUUAUCACCUUGGGGGUGAGGUUUCAACAUAUGAAUUUUAGAGGAACAUAAACAUUCAGACCAUAGCAAUAAUGAAGAUAAAGAGUUUAUUCAUAGAUAAAUGUUAAGAAGUAGAUACUGUUUGUUAGGAGAAGUGUCCACAGUUAGGGAGAAGUUAGAUGUCUGGUGUCAUCUUUGAUUUUUGUGUUUCUUCCGGAACCCUGUUGCCUGGCUUCCUACACUAUUUCUUGUGUCUUUUUCUUGUAGCUAAACUUGAACAUUUUUUCCUUGAGUACCAUUUUACAAUCAACUGUGCUUUUAUGCAGUGGACUUUCACUGAAUGUCCCCUAUUGGAAAUUUUAACAACAAUUUAACAACUAUUUAUUUGAUACUUUCUGUAUAACCAAUAUUAUUGAACAUCCUAGGAACACAUACAUAAAUAAAACUUGAUCUCUGCUUUCAGAAAA
rnacentral:sRNA from 1 species